CCUGUAUGCCUGUUGACCAAGUAUGCAUGGCAUUCAUUUCUGUGUGUGAAAAGCCGUAUAUAUUAUGUGACUGGGCCGGCACGCAAAGGAAGUGCCUUUAAGAUUUAUUGUACUUCUCCCUACGUCCGUGUACACAGCGGCGUUUUAAAAAGUCAUACAUUUUACUUUUUGAAACCGAUACCGAUAAUUUCCGAUAUUAUGUUUUAAAGCAUUUAUCGGCCGCUAAUAUCGGCAGUCCCAUAUUAUCGGACAUCCCUAGUGCUAUUUUACAGUACGUGGGUUGCCGACUCAACUGGCGUAUCGCUCUUCAGGACUUGGCGAUACGGUCUCAGCCAUUUUACCUUUUAUAUAAUGUUGCAAUUUUCAAUAACAACAAAGUAAUUGAAUAUAAAAACACUCCAAGAUAAAGGAAAUAGUGCCCCCCAGUGUACGGGAGGCACAUGGCGUAUGACCAAUGCAUGGACUCUGGGACUACACAUGUAAGUGUGAAAAUCCAAAAAAACUAACUAUUAGAGAAAUCAGACUAAUUAAGUGCAUGGAAGCGUAGUGAGUGUGUGUAGUCUGUUUGUACACAAUCGACAACAUGGCGGACGCACAGACUCACAACCCGUCCGGUACACGUUAAUGUGAAAUAAAAAAUGACUAUCCUCAAGAUUCAUUCAUUAAAAAUAUUUACAGCUCCCUGUUGGUAUUCAGGAGUCCUAUUCAUGCUCUUCUUUUGUGCAUAACCACCACCGGUUUCCAUACGAGGAACGUCCUUGGCACCACCGAAACACCCGAGGCGGGUUCUUACACGGCGCGGGGGCCAAUGAGGAGUCGGGCGGAUAAUGACAUCAUUUAACAGAGAGUCUAUAGGACCGGCCCCUCGAGGCGAUUGGUCGCAUGAAGAGCGCUCUCGCGGUUACGAUGAUUAAGGGGCAUAUGAAGGGCUAUCAAAGGAGAGCCCCUUAAUGAAAGCGGCGCUCUGAGAGCGCGGGCCGAUUUCGGAGCUACCGAGAACGAACGGAAGGAGACCAGAUGUAGAGCAGGAGGGGAAGCGAGAAGAGUUAAAGCACGAGGCAGGAAGUCAGUGUCGAAGAGCAAAGUAGAAGGGGAGCAUGUGUCGGCCAACGCAAACAAAUACGGAGAAUUCAGUCGACCUGAAUGCCUUUUCAUGCAAGAAUGCAACGCAGCGACUGGAGCUUCCCCGGAGUCACCCUCUCAGGGAAAACUUCUGUCCUCAAAGUACCUUUUCCCUUUUGCCACUCUGUCCACAUUCAUGUGGGACUCUGUGUUUUCAUAUUGUGUGUGUGUGUGUCCACCUGGAAACAUUUGAAAAGUGAGGCCAGAUUUCCAUGCCAGUGAUGUAUAUCUCAAUAUUUUGGUUAGUCGACUCAUUUCCAGGCAUGUGGAAUGUCCACAAAAGCGCGAAUUUGUGCGUUUUUAACCAUACAUUUUUUGCGUCAAAAUAUUACUUUUGUGUUUUUUUUCGAAAUAUUGAAGCUUGUAAGGAUCGUAGUCGAUGGAGGAGAUUAAAUGACGUUCAGACUUUGUUUCCUUAUUAAAGUUAAAGUUAAAGUACCAAUGAUUGUCACACACACAAGGUGUGGCGAAAUUAUUCUCUGCAUUUGACCCAUAGCUCUUGAUCACCCCCUGGGAGGUGAGGGGAGCAUUGGGCAGCAGCGGUGCCGCGCCCGGGAAUCAUUUAUGGUGAUUUAACCCCCAAUUACAAUCCUUAAUGCUGAGUGCCAAGCAGGGAGGUAAUGGGUCCCAUUUUUAUAGUCUGUGGUAUGACUCGGCCGAGGUUUGAACUCACAACCUACCGAUCUCAGGGCGGACACUCUACCCACUAGGCCACUGAGUAUGUGGCCUAGUAGGUAGAGUCAAUCGAGCAGUAUCUAUUAGGGUUGUGAAUUUUUGGGCACCACAUGAUUCGAUUCUUGGGGUCAGGAUUUGAUUCAGAAUCAAUUCACACUCAUUUGUAUUUCUUAAACACGUGUUUGCUCCAAGUGUUUGGAAAAGAACCAACCCGGCAAGUCUAAAAGAGUGCAAAUGUGCGCAAAACCUAAAAGAGUUAAGCUUUUACCAAGGGCAACAAUCUUACAGUAUAUGAAUCUUUCAGCACAUAACUGGAAAUCUCAUGUAAAAAAUAUACAACAUAAAGUAGCAAGAAAUACGUCAAUAAUGAAUAAAGCCAAAUAUGUUCUAGACCAAAAAUCACUUUAUAUUCUCUACUGCGCACUAGUGUUACCAUAUCUUAGUUACUGUGUAGAAAUAUGAGGAAAUAAUUACAAAAGUACACUUCAUUCACUAACAGUGUUACAAAAAAUAUCAGUUAGAAUAAUACAUAAUGUUGGAUAUAGAGAACAUACAAACCCUUUAUUUAUUGAAUCAAAGAUACUGAAAUACCACGACAUAGUGGAAUUGCAAACAGCUAAAAUUAUACACAAAGCAAACUAUAACCUGCUUCCCAAGAAUAUACAACAAUUCUUCUCAACAAAAGAAGAGAAAUAAAAUCUUAGAGAAAACUGUAAUUUAAAACAUUUGUACGCACGUACAACACUUAAGACCUUCAGUGUAUCAGUAUGUGGAAUUAAAUUAUGGAAUGGAUUAAGCAAAGCAAUCAAACAAUGUACUAAUAUCAUCCACUUCAAGAAACUCUUCUAACUGGAAGUGUUUACAAAGCACAAAAAAGAAGAACCAAGAUAAACAUUCUGAUUUUAUUCACCCAUUCAUUCUCAAAAUAAUCUUACUUAUCUCAUCGUAUGGAAUAAAACUUACUUCACCAAUUAUUUAUUUAUUUUUUAUUGUUAUUACUUAUGGAGUAUACAUUGUGAAUACAUUGAGAACAGGAAGUGAACAAAAGUUUUAGCAACUGUUAUGUAAUGAAAAGGGGUAGGAUUAAAUAAGCUCUGCUUCUUCCUACUCCUUUUCGAACAUGUUGAAAAGAGGAACUGGAAAUUAUGAUGUAUCAUGUUGUAUGCUUGCAUGUUCGAAAUAAACUCAAACUCAUACACAA